UACGUAGGUGGCAAGCGUUGUCCGGAAUUAUUGGGCGUAAAGCGCGCGCAGGCGGUCCUUUAAGUCUGAUGUGAAAGCCCACGGCUCAACCGUGGAGGGUCAUUGGAAACUGGGGAACUUGAGUACAGAAGAGGAAAGCGGAAUUCCACGUGUAGCGGUGAAAUGCGUAGAGAUGUGGAGGAACACCAGUGGCGAAGGCGGCUUUCUGGUCUGUAACUGACGCUGAGGCGCGAAAGCGUGGGGAGCAAACAGG
rnacentral:rRNA from 1 species